GAACAUUAAUGAACCAGGAAUUGAUGAUCAAACCAGACAUCGACGAUAUGCAUUCCAGAUUAACACUUUUUCCGCUUUGUUCGCCAGUUUAACCAAUAAAAAAG
rnacentral:sRNA from 1 species